rnacentral:lncRNA from 1 species
AAAAUGAUCAAUUAACCCCCUAAGGAGUUAUUGCCCUUUAUAGUCAAUUUUUAAAUACCUUCAAAAAAUUUGUAAAUUUUUACUAACUUUUUCCACUGUAACUACUGGGCCAAGUUCAUCGUAGAGACAGAUAAUUGUAAGCAGCAAGAAUGUUCAGUUAAGUAAGAUCCAUCACCAAAACACAAUUUUGUCAUAAAUCCAUCUGUGUCCUUUGUUUAAUAUUCACAUAGACCAAGGUGAGCGACACAGGCUCUUUAGAGCCU